rnacentral:rRNA from 1 species
UACGUAGGGGGCUAGCGUUAUCCGGAAUUACUGGGCGUAAAGGGUGCGUAGGUGGUUUCUUAAGUCAGAGGUGAAAGGCUACGGCUCAACCGUAGUAAGCCUUUGAAACUGGGAAACUUGAGUGCAGGAGAGGAGAGUGGAAUUCCUAGUGUAGCGGUGAAAUGCGUAGAUAUUAGGAGGAACACCAGUAGCGAAGGCGGCUCUCUGGACUGUAACUGACGCUGAGGCACGAAAGCGGGGGGAGCAAACAGGAUUAGAUACCCUGGUAGUCCCUGAGCGGG